GGGCCCGGUGCACCCUCUCAACUAGAAAAGGAACCCCCUGCCAUUGUUCUCAUUUCCCGGGCACCCGGACCUUUCUCACCAGGACCACUGAGAGCACAGCCCCUGUAUUUAGAGAACAAAAGAACCUCUCACCCCAUUCCAACCCGGCUCCCUUCGGUUUUCAGAGCUAGGGUUGCUGAGAGAGAAUCGAUCGCCAUGUGGAGAAGCUGGCUGAGAGAGAAUCGAUCGCCAUGUGGAGAAGCUGGCUGAGAGAGAAUCGAUCGCCAUGUGGAGAAGCUGGCUGAGAGAGAAUCGAUUGCCACGUGGAGAAGCUGGCUGAGAGAGAAUUGAUCGCCAUGUGGAGAAGCUGGCUGAGAGAGAAUCGAUCGCCAUGUGGAGAAGCUGGCUGAGAGAGAAUCGAUCGCCAUGUGGAGAAGCUGGCUGAGGGGGAGCUGCAGAUGCUGCUUCUGGAUCCAGCCAGACCUGAAUCUCAGCAACCCCUG
rnacentral:lncRNA from 1 species